rnacentral:lncRNA from 1 species
GUCGACUCUUCCGCCGAGUUGCUUCGAUGUCUGGUCUUCGCGCGUGCGCAUGCGCGGUUCCUCGAUUCUAUUGAGUCUUCUGCUCAAGAGCAACGGCUAGCCUGUGUAUACUUGCGGCUCGAGAGAACUGUACCUUCUUUUCUUUCUCUUUUUUGUUUCUUCUUUUUUUUCUUUUGGAGGGAAUUUUAAUUGUGCCACUGAAUAUAUAGGUCGAUUCAAACAAAGUUAUGGAAAUCAGGAGGGACGAAGACACUUUCGAGAAAACCGGACUUGAUCAAGGACAAAAUGCUUCUUCCGUUGUCUUUUUCUUAUAUCGUUGCAUAAAGUUUGUGUUUUUCUAAAAUCUUCUCUAGAAUCGUUUAAUUUUUAACAAACGUUUUUAAUAAUCGUACUUUUCUAAUGACUUUCUCGGAUCUUGACGGAUUUUUUGUGAGGUUAGAAUUGUAAUGUUGAUGAAAAGAAAAUUGUUUAUUUUUAUUCAUGUUUCCUAAGAUUCGAUCAGUGCUUGAAUCCGCGACGCAGAAAACGCGUGCUUACGCAACGAUCGCUCACUUAUUUAAUAAAACAAAGUUACGACUAGUAUCGAGCAGUAAUAGCACGCUCCGGGGAAUGCUACUGUUGUUCACCCGUCCAAUGGCGAGAAAAGUUGACACAGCCACUCGUUUAUCCACCAGGCGUGAACGAGUCUACCACGUGUAUGCAAAAGUUCUCUCGGAGUCCUUGCAUAGUACGCAUCGAGAAUCAGGACACUUCAAAGGCUAAUAAUCUAUGCAUAGUGGACAGUGGAGUUACGAGCCGGUGUUAUUCGAAUCGUAUCUUUCGGUUUUAACCCAUGGUAAUCCAACAUUUGGCCCAACUAUCCCUCGACUAACGGUCAUACGUUGACUUAGGUCUGGUGCCUAACGAGGCCAACCUUAUGUCCAAGUUGUUAUUUUAUAAGAUAUAUUUCCGUUUACGAAUUAUGGAUUAGAUAAUAAAUUCUAUAAGAAGUUGUAAGUUUAUGUUAUAGCUAUGAAAGGCAACGUUUACUGGCUGUUAAUAUUAUAAGGAAAAUUGAUUAUGAUUAUACUAUUGUUGUUACUAAAAUAGAUAUGAAUAUACGUAAGUAUUUUAUGAAUAGUAAUAAUGACGUGAGAAUAAAAGUAAAUAGUUGAAACUAUAAUUACCUAACUGUAUUGAUAAGUAGUUUCAUUAUAUACCUUUGUUUAUAAGUAUAUGGAUUUUUCUGAUAAUUUUAAUACUGGAAUUACCAAAUCAAAAUUAUAUUUUUACAAUUAUUAAUUGCAAAACAUAUUUUCGAUAAAAUUCAUUAAUGAUUUCAUAAUAUUCUUUAGAUAAAUAUUGCGGUUAAGAAAAUGUUCACAUAUUUAUAGACUGAUAAAUAUCUACUGACUUAUAAACAGAAGCAUGUCUAUAUUAAACAUUACAGUCAUUGAAAAAUCUGAAAGCAGAAGACUGAAGUGGUUGGUAGAAACUCUAGUCCAAGGAGAAUGAUGAUAUGCGAUCACGCAACCGCGGAUACUCUCGUUCGCCCACAAGGUACUAACUGCGCGGCGAGUUAAAGCGGAAGUAGCGUUGAAAGGACGCGUUCGAUUCGCGUACGCCCACCAUGACUAUCGGCAACACGCUAGGACAAAAUUUAGAACUAUUCAAAAAUGCUUUAAGGCUUUCACGACUCGAGUUAAUGCAAUUACUUUAACUUCAAACUUCCUAUAUUGCGUCAGCAUUAAAAUUAAAGAUCAAAAAAAUAACUGUGCAACUAAAAUAAAUCCUACAUCGAUCAUCUAUAUUUCGAUAAUUCGCAAUUCUGAAAAUACGUCAGUUUCAAUAAAUAUCCUUUUUGGAUUUACAUUCGAAGUCUUAAAUUGCAGCGAUUACACUCGAAAAUGAAACAAGAAGCACGGAUUUCGCGAGAUACCUAUCGACUUAAAAUCGAGGACAUGAUUCUGAGCGCAUAAAUUUGACGGAGACACGCCGCAGUUCGAUUCACGAAGCAGGUGUAGCUCGGUCUAGGAUUCAAUCUCUGCCAAUGCCCUCCCUCUACCAUGCCACUUUCUACUUUCACGUCUGUUCGAUAUACACAAUAUCUGCAUAAUACACGGUUUGGCGAAUGCGCAUCGAAGAGGAUUCGACGUGAUCCUGUCGUGAAGAGGAGAGGAUGAUAAAAAGAAGGUGUUCCAGGAAACACGACCGAUCUCUGCUGCAUUCAGAACAUUUCUCUAUCCUUGCUCUGGCCGCCGAUCACGAGAGAGCCGGACCGUCUGAUCCUUUCUCGCCGCGAGUUCCUUCGAGGCGAUGGCCCCUCUACGGGGUGACCCGAUCUCUCGAGCGCCGCGACGAACAGGUUAAAGUAGCUCCUGAGGCGUGUGUAUGUAAGUAAGCAAGUACUUAUGUACGUACGAGCAGCCUACCACUCGGCCUACCAGCCGUAUUAUUACGUGUCGCUUUGCGGACCUUACGGCUCCCGUGUGCGCGCAUGUAACAGGUUCCAGCCGCACGCAAUGGUCGGCAAACUGCUCGCGGAAAGACUCGAAAAGAAAUGACUUAUGUGCGAGUUAAUUUGAAUCGAACAAUGUUCAAUUUUGAGAAAAUUAACUUCGAAGAAAGUUUUGAAUUUCUUAGUAAAUAUCAUUUAAGAUUUUCUCUAUAUAAAAAUUGUAUAAAUAAUCUAUUUUUGUUAUAUACUGAAAGAUUUAUAGCAAUGAUAAUAUUAUAGAAUGACAUCUGAGAUAUAAUAUCGAAGUGGAAUUUUGUUUAUAAAACAUAAAUUAACGAAUAAUACGUAAUACUCAACAUUCUCUCUCUACAUUCCACAUCACAACAAAUACCAUAGUUCAACCACAAUUUCUAUGAUUCAUGUACAUAAUUUAUAUUCUUUCAGCGGCUGGUCAAGAGGAUUUUUAAACUUACCCCCAAAAGGACUUACCAUUGACAGAGUUUGAAAAGCAUCAUAGUGGAAGGGUUGCAACAACGCAUAUGGUUAAUAUUGACAAAGCCAAAUCCCGAUGAAAAGCCAAUCUUGAAAAGGUGUACAGCCGACUGUAUAUGCUUGCCUGAACAUUUCUUCCCGAGGAAAAAAAGAUUGGUCGGCAACCGAGAAGGGAGCUACGACAAAUUAACUACGCACGAUCCUGAGAGAUAGCCGAUAUCGGUACCAGAGUAUAGCGGAUCCUGUGUACUGGAAGGCAUGUGUGUGUUGUACCGUGCAAGUCGGUCCUUAUACGGGUCUCGACACGAAGUUGGCUCUCCCUCGAGCAAAAAGAACCCUUCAUGCCUUGGCACGACUUCGUGCCACGUUUUCGAUGGACCGUCGAAUACGCACGAUACCGUGCAUCCUGUGUUUCUAUUUUUGAAACCAUGGUACUAGUAAUGGAUAUUCGAAUUUCAACUUUGAAAUGAUUCGAAAUUUUAAGACCGUGAAGAUUUAAAGUAAUGAUUUCGUCAAUAUAUAUUUUCGUUAUUUGAAGUGAAUUGGAAAUGAAUUCCAUCAGUAACUAUGGCCAAUUGAAUAUUAUUGCCAGUCUUGGAUGCAAAGUGCGAAUAGUUCGAGCCUCGAGCUACGUAAAUUCUAGGAAGAAUCUAGUAGGUAAUUGCCACGAUGGAAUAUUCAACUUUUGAACGAUGAUCGAAUUGAUUAUGGAUAAGAUCAAUGUCGAACAGCGAUGACCUAUAUAAUUCUAUGGACUCGCUUCUUUAUUACAAGCCACCGCGGUAGAAGAAGCUGAUCGAAGCUGUCUCGAAGCCAUUAAUUACCUCUGGCGUCACAAUAGCUACCUGCACCUUCUAGGCAGGGUAAGAGAAGUUAAUACUCUAAUAUGACUAAAUCUAUGACCAAAUGUAUUUCUAAUAUUCUGGUUAACACUUGCAUAUUGACUUCUUGGAUUCACAAAUUAAAGCUUUUUGGAAGCUAAAUUUUUUUGAAGAAAUCCGAAUCUGAAAAAAAACGCAUCGUGUGAAAUGUUGGAGAUAGUUUAAGAGAAAGAUAAACCGCGCAUAAAAUCGUAGCAGUUAAUCAUGCGGUUAAUCUUUUACGUCCAAUGCAAUAAAAUAUCGAGGAUGUCGAUUCAAAAAUGGCGGAACAUCUGCCGGCAGGGAGAUUUUCAGGGAGAAGAGCGAUUCGCGAUUAAAAAUGACGCAUUCGUGGCGAGGUGCUCGUUUAAUUACCGAUGCUCGUUCCAGCGUGGGCUCUCCGGCUUCGUUGCACCGCCACGGGCCCGAUCCCGGUCCGCCCACCCGCAUCCGCCACACUGGCCUACGUGCAAAGGUGCGAUAAACACACCUUUGUAAGAGUACGUAGUACGUAACCGUUGUCCACCGAUCUGCGUCGCUCUUUAGCUCCGCGUUUUUCCGUAUACCAUUCGACUUUCGCCGUUUAACGCGGUACUUGAUCCUUUUCACUCGAUAUUCAACAAUAUUGAAUCUGUGAAAUUGUAUAGGAGACAGGUAAAAUAGAUUAUUUUA